rnacentral:rRNA from 1 species
UACGGGGGGGGCGAGCGUUAUUCGGAAUUAUUGGGCGUAAAGGGCGCGUAGGCGGCUUGAUGUGUCAAAGGUGAAAUCCCUCGGCUCAACUGAGGAACUGCCUUUGAAACUGUCUGGCUUGAGGCCGGGAGAGGGUAGCGGAAUUCCCAGUGUAGCGGUGAAAUGCGUAGAUACUGGGAGGAACACCGGUGGCGAAGGCGGCUACCUGGACCGGUUCUGACGCUGAUGCGCGAAAGCGUGGGUAGCAAACAGG